rnacentral:lncRNA from 1 species
UGCUGACCCGCCGAUGGCACCCACAAGCAGGACUCAAUGCACAACCAAAAGACUCUUCACUGAAGACGAACCGCAAAAAUGUGAAGGCGGAGGUCUGGAGAGCUGAUACGGAUCAGAACAAACUGUCAGUGACGGCUGAGACGUGGAAUAAAGACAGACCUGCAAACAUCAGGCGAGUAUCUGUUAGAGAAUCACAGCCGGCAGACAAACCCGAGGCUCAGGUAGACACGGGAGAACAGAAUAUUCAGGCAGAAAAUAUUCGUCAGCAAAACCGACAAACUGAACCGUGUUUAUCAGAAGCUAUCCAGCGACUCAUGAGUGAGAUAAAUAAGCAAACACACAUCCAGAUAUAGAAAGUAAACAGGAAAGAAAAUCAACACACAGGGGAAGCAUAAAGAGCAGAAAAACUCCAGGAAGGUAAGGAAGAGACACAACUGGACCAUGAAAGAUGAAAAUAUGUGAUCUGUCUCCGUUAAACAGUUUUGUUUUUUUAUAGCAGCUCUGUCUGAGAGCCGAAUACAGUCAGACAACUCAUGUAAAACACCGCUGCAACGAUACAAAAGCCCCUUCCUGCUCAAAUCUAUGUGUCCUCUCAUGUGUGUAAUCACAUCUGAAGUCUGCCCAAACUGUAAAACAGCUGACAAACAUUUCAGACGUGUAGGAGGUCAAGAACAUUUUCAAACAAGGAGACUCGAGCAUGAAAUGAUCAUGAAACAACGGCUAUUCUAGCGGAAAUUUUUCCCGUAUUUCAAACCUGUUUAGACUCAAAAUAAAAGUUUAAUCUAAAGUUGGUCUGCUCAGCUCAUGGUAGGAGAAGUGGUUGACCUGUUCUUGACUGGUUUGGAUUUUUCAGCUUUAUGUGCUUCACAUAGGUAGGUACUGUACCAAAACAAUCGACAAACACAUCAGCAAAAUGGAUUGUCUAUCAAACGAUGAAAACACAGACAGAUUUACAUCUCUUUUUUACAUCCCGUAACUUCCUUAAACACAUUUAUAAGACGUUCAACUUUUGAGUCAAAGCCUGAGGUGCAAACUGAGGAGCAUGCCCAGAACACUCACGCUAGCUUAGGUCAGAUUGAGGCGUACAUAGAGGAGACAAAAUCAAUUCCCAAAUGCAUUAUUGGGGUAUGUUAGUCCGACUUUAAGAAAUGUACCCAGGAUUUCCGCCACAUCCAGAACUGCAGCGAUUUUCGCUGUACGCCAAUUCCUACCGGGUCCAUUUGUGAGACUAAUUUCGUGGCGGAAUAUGGUCACCAGGAAUUGCAAGGACUUAGAAGAAUCCGCGGAUUCACGUGUAAUUGCGCGAUAACAAGUUGUCUCUAUAAAGACAGACACAUAACCAUAUAAGGAAAUGUACUCUAGACUUCUAAAAUCAGCAUUUCCUCAUUCAUGGUGUCAUCGGGGCGACAUGACGUCUGUAAACCUUUCACUUGUUCGUCUCCGCCCAUUUGCACGGUGUGAAAUACGAUCCACCUGAAACACGGGGUGUUUUAUUUUGAAAAGGAGCCAGAUGUUUUAUUUUGUGUCUGUGCCCGACUUCCUUUCCAGCACGGGUUAAUCUGUGCUGAGUUUAUCAGGUAUGCUGCACUGUCCGGAAAAAAUGGAACUCUUGCGAUCAGCUGCGGAGUCCGGCAAUCUGCAGAGGAACGGAAAGAAGCCGGUGGAAAUUGACACGUUAACUUGAAUGGUUAUGAUCAUCUACGACCGGCGGAUACGGCCUUUUCGUAGCCGUUCUGGAUGCAGUGGAAAUUGGGGGUUAAUGUGAUUCUAGUCGGGCAUGUAUUUAAAAUUCCAGAAAAUUACCACAUAAGCAUGCCCUACCAGCAGGUGGCGAUAAUGAGCAAUCAUUCUGUCAUGUCCAACAUGAAUAGAGAACAGUUUGUUGUACAGAGAGGUGAAUCAUCACCUCCAGAGGCUUUUUUUUUUUCUUUAUAAAGCUCAGUUUUUAGCGUCCUUAAACUUUCAUGUGACAAAAGGCCAAAACUAAGAAAAAAACACCUCUGUACUUGCUUGAAGUGACUCGCUUCUUCAACAUAAAACUGUUCCUAUAUGUGAGCAUUAUUUGUUCACAGCUUGUAUAUUUAGACGUGUUCUUAUUUCUGCCUCUUAGUGCGGCGGUAACACUAUUUCCCUGCAGGGUUGCAUCUCUUCCGAAGACUGGUGCUGGCCUCCCCUGCCACCAGAUUACACAGCUCUUAAAAGUAAAAUGUCAGAGUCAGAAAUGUUUGAUAUCUCCAUUCAGCUCUGGAUAAAACGUCCAGGGUCCUAAGGUAAAAAAGGGACGCAACAGACCUCCCUUUAGUUCUACUAAUGCUGCCCUGAGAGGGAUUAGGAGAAAAAACAGGACAGGAGAGAAACGCGAUGGAGGAUUGGGGACAAGCUGAAGGUACUUAAUUUAACAUGAAGACCAGCAUACAAUAUUUAAAGGUGAGGUACUUUUUUUCAAUGUAGCCGGCAGUUUAUCUCCACAGAGAAGAAGGUAAUCCUUCACAAUCUGUUAAGCUGGUGUCACUUGAUGGUGUUUCUUCUUUCACAGAGAGAUGUAGAGUUUAUUAUCCUUAAAAAAUACAAUCCAAGCGCGGCCCGUCAGAUUCAGAGGGAGGAGGAAACCUGUGAUGAGUCAAAAAUAACCCAUGCAGGAGGGUUUUAUUCACCGUAUUCAGUCAUAGUUGGUUUUCCUCUCAUGUCACAUUCAGGUGAGAAGCUGUUACAGAAUUAUACUGCUGUGUUUCAGGUGUGGACAUCAUGAGUUUUCAGAGAGAUAUGGAUUAUUUUGCCUUUUUUGGGCUCAUUGGCUCAUGAAAAGAGAGAACAGUAAAAAUCCUGAGGGUUAAGGUUGUACAUUUAAACUGAAACUACAAGAAACUACACAUCAGCAUUUCUAACCUUAACCCCAACCCUGGACCCCUAAUUCUGUAAGCCUAACCCUGACAUUUACCCCUUUUAUCUAAACCCUGAAUUCUAACCAUGUUAAUCCUAACCCCAAUCCUGAAAACCUAACUCUGUAACCCUGACCAUCUAACCCUAAUUCUAACCCUUACUUUCACCCCGUCUUAUUCUAAUCCUGAAAUGUAACCCUGAAACCCAGAGCUUAACUCUCUAAACCCUAACUUCAACCCUUACCUUUACCCGUCUUAUCCUAACCCUUGCCCUAACUCCUGUCUAACCUUUAGCCUCUAACCCUAACUCUAACCCUUACCUUUACCCCUGUCUUACCCUUGCCCUAGGCUCUGUCUAACCCUUACCUGAUUACUAACUCCUAACCCUAACUUCUGUCUAACCCUUACCCCUGCCGAACCCUAACCCUAACCGGCCAACCCAAUCAUUAAUCCCAACCCAAACUUCUUUCCAUCCCUAACCUUAUUACUAUACCCUAACCCUAACCUCUAUCUAACCUAGGCCUGUCACGAUAACAAAUUUUGCUGGACGAUAAUUGUGCGACAAAUUAUAGCCGAUAAACAAUAUUAUUGACACCGUUUUUUAAAUUAUAGAUAAUGAUAUUAAAUGGCAUAAUAAUGCGAGUGCACCGUGUCAAAAGUGACAAACUUUAAUUUCCACACGAGAUAAACACUGGUUGUUUUCGUUGACUAAAAUAUUUCCCUUUUCUCCCACGACGAAGACGUAACGUUGACGAGCUAAACAUAAGUCGGAGAUGACUAAAAUGUGACGAGACGAAAGUGCGUUUACGUUGAUGGGACGAGACGAAAAUGACGAACAGAGUUGCAAAACUCAGUCAGUUAAACGCUAAACAUAUAGGAGCAGCUUCAGUCCGCUCUGACAGCUCUCAUCAGCCUGCUGUGCUCCUCCAACACAGACACACGCGCGCGCACACACGUGGAGUUUUGUGGUUGACGAAAACAAAACUGGUUUAAAGCCGAAAUAUUCCCACACUUGGGCUGCUGCGUUCGGUUUAGACACCAAAGCUGUCGUGUUCAUUCUGUUUGCUUGCUUUUCACUCACGACGCUCACUUGCGGCACUGUAUCCAAAAGUCUGUGUCUGUGUGCCUGUGCGCGCCUACGUGUAGCUGUGCGCGCGCCCCCUCGUGACAAAGACACUGAAUGACUGACAGGAGGGUUCACUAACUCCGUUCAUUCCGCUAUAGAGCCAACGCCCCCAGGUGCCGAGAAAAAUGCGCAGAGUGAGACCUCUUCUCUCAACCAGCGUGUUUGGUAGUGAGAGAGGAGGAAAACAAACGCACGUCAAUUAUCGAGGCUGGCAAAAUGACCGACCUCGUUUUUAUUUAUCGAGCGAUAAGGCGAUUUAUUGAUUAUCGCGACAGGCCUAAUCUAACCCUAACUCUUGUCCAACCCUAACCCGCGAACCCUAACUCAAACCCUUUCCUUUACCCCUGUCUUACCCUUGCCCUAGGCUCUGUCUAACCCUUACCUAAUUACUAUAUCCUAACCCUAACUUUUGUCUAACCCUUACCCCUCCUGAACCCUAACCCGAACCGGCUAAUCCAAUCACUAAUCCCAACCUUAACUUCUGUCUAACACUAACCUGAUUACUAUAUCAUAACCCCAACCCUCAUCUAACCCUAACCCCUGUCCAACCCUAAUCUGCUAACCCUAUCAUUAAUCCUAACUCUAACCCCUGUCUAACCCUCUAACCUGAUCACUAAUCCUAACCCCAACUCCAAUAUAAUCCUUACCCCUGUCCAACCCGAUAACCUGAUAACUAAACCCAAACCCUAACCCUAACCCUGUCUAAGAUAACAAACACAGGUCAAACUUGUUGUAAUGUUUUAUAUCCACAGCUGUUUUUGGUUCCAACUUAAUUUACUAUCUAUUAUUUAACUGAACUGAAAUUGUUUAUUUUGAUCAGACUGAAAAGAAAUAAACUUAUUUUUGUUAAGUAUCUGAAAAGGAGAGAAAGUAACACCUAUAGUCAGACCCUUUUUAUCCACCAACAUAUAUAAUAAUCAUCUCUUAUCUGAUAAUUAAAUCUGUUUAGUAAUCGUCUUUGUUUAAUAAUAAUUCAUAAAUAUAAACUUAACAUUUAUAAGUUAAUCAUCAUAUAACUGAAGCUCAGAUGUAGCUUAGAAGCUGUUGAAUGCUAACGUUAUGUCAGCUGCUCUCUUUAAAAAGCUAAUGGGGUCAAAAAAUUUAAUACUUUAUUAUAUACUCUCUUAUACUGUAUGUCAUAAACGUCAUGUAAGGACGACCUGUCUUCUGUGGGAUUAAAUCAAACUCUACGUUAACAUGUUAGCAAUGUUAAUGUUAGCACCUCAGGGAAACUCAAACACUUGAAUCGACAUUUCAGACAUUUAUACAGUAAAUGAUUAAAAUUAUGUCCCUUUGUCCCUCUUUCUUUCCAUUGUGCACUAAAUUUUUGUAAGUCUCUUUCUACUGCUGUGUAAAUCCUGAACACAGUAGCCUUAAGUUAUAACAGUAUGUUAGCUCCUGAAGUAAUGGAGAAAUGCCUGCUGAGAAAGUAUAGUAAUUUUCUAUCAUUAAAGCAUGUUAGCGCGAUGUUACUUCCUCGAAGAAAGGAACAGGACGAAUCAAAAGUUCUGAAUCCAGAGACUUAAAUAUAAUUACUGAAUUUACCCAGCGCACACAGAGAGAUAAAGAGCAACAGGUCCAGAAAUACAGCAGUGAACCUUUAUGAAGAAGAAAGAGCCUGAGAAACAGAGAGGACAGAGUUCAGAUAAGGUGCAGUCUUCAUUUUCCUCCCUUUGGAAGUAACAGCCAACUUAUAAUACAAAGAGAGACUCUUCAGGCGCUGCUUCAGUGGCAUCUCAGCUCUGCUCUUUCAUCUCUGAACACUCAGCUGAAAACUGACACAACCUAAAAGGCACAUCCAGAGCAAAAAGGAGAGCUGAUGGGGUUCAGCUGCCGUUUGUUGUCUCAUUAGGUUGCUGUGUGUGUCUCUGCCUCUCGACCGGUGCUGUACUCUGGCACCGCUGAAAAACAGACUCUCCCCAUCACUCAAGAUCCAAGAUAUAUUCGACACGAGAGCCGUGGUGAGCUACAGCGAUUCUUCACUUCUCUCUUUCUUGUCACAGUUGUUAUGAGAGUAUCAAAGAUUUGUCAGUCAAAUGAGUCUUUCUUCUUCUGUCUCCUCCAGUCAAACGACACAGUGAUGACAGAACCUUUAUCCCCCUGAUGUUGUUAUCUGUGAGGCGCCAUUCCUGGAAAGAAGAAGUCGGAUUUACUCACUGAAGUCUCAAAGUUUGGGUCACGGGUCCAAGGCGAGUAAAAUCAUUCGCACAAAUGAGUUACAUGUUAAAGGGAUAUUCCGGCAUAAAAUUUAGUUGGGGUCAAACACACCAUAACACUGAGUUAGACACCCCCGCCAAGAGAUGAUGUCGCCGACCGCUUGCUUCUCUAGUUAUACCAACUUUAGUAACGACCGCAGGAUAGCCAUAAACCUCAACCAAAUCGCCACUCUAUAGCCACAAGUAAUGCUCAGAACAGCUCCUAACUUCAUCAACAGUCCCAGCAAAAGCAUAAGCCACCAAACAUCUUUUUAACUUUGACUAAUUUCUUUAGCAAAGAGACUAAACACAACUCACCUACUCUCUUCCAGUAGCCGUUUGUUUGUAGCGAGUCCUCAGGCCAGUCCAUUUAAGUCAAUGCAAAGAUGCGAUUAGACGCUCGUACUACUCUGGCGUCGCAAUAACCAAUCAGCACGAAGGUUGCCGGGUGACGUUUGAAAACAGACAGUUGUUCAAACUGAUCAUGUUGGUGUGUGGGUGCCCCGACUUACAUGAUACCUUUUCUUUCAAUUACCGAAACCAGAUUAAAAAGGAGCUUACCUUGAGGCAAGUGUGACGGCCUGAGGGUCUGUCUUUGGUGCAUCCUGCUUUCCCCUGUUUUGCUGGCUCUGUGUCUUGUUGAAGGUAGCUGUGGGUGGAGCUAACCUGAGAGAGCGCUUGAUGGUGAUGCGGCACACCUGAGCAGGGUGGGGCUCAGCUGGUUUUAAAGCUGAGCUGCACCACAGUCUGCUCUCUCUUCUCUCUCCUUUUUUGAGCCUUGUUGUGACAAAAUGGGGGCUCGUCCUAUUUACUACUUGCUUGGGUGAGUUUCUUAUACUGUUUAAGAAGCUUGUUUGUAUCUGCUGUUCCUCUAUCUUGGCUCUUGAGUGCAUUUGUAAGAGUUUUGGCUUGUGUUUGGAGGAUAGGGGGGUGGUUUUGAUCGGUGAAUUUAUUAGUCUUGUUAUGGCAUGUGCGAGGUAGUUUUGGGAGGCCUUGUAGUCUGUAUGAUGCUUUUGGUCGUGAAUGUGGUCAGCUUGGUUGGGGUUUCACAACUUUUAUUGGUUUAGGAUUUGUUUUGCCCUGCUUUAGUCCUCAUUAAGUCUCCACAAAUAACAACAAACCAUGUUUUAGCUCCCAAAUGGAGAGAGUUGAAACUGUAGAAACAUGAGGGGCAGUGGGCACCAGUCGUUAUCCCCUGACUACACCCCUGGAUCAAGUGUGAACUCCCAUUUUUUUAAGACGACGGUUUUUUGGAGGAACUUUCAGCCAAUGCCAUGCAAAGCAUCACAGUAAUCCCAUGGUUGAAAGUAAUAUGAAGCUUAAUUUCUUGCAAGAGCACAUUUUUUAAUAAUGUCAACAGAGACACAAGGAGAGAUCAAGUGCUGCCUGAGUGAAUUAAAGACAGGGAGUGCUCAAACGUCUCUGUGCAUGCAUAUUUUACUUUUUUCAUCGGUGCAUAAAAAUAUCAGGUGGAAUUCAAUCAUUUGGGUUAAAUUAUUGAAGAAAUACUUUGAUACUUAAAGUUCUGCAUCUUUGAAUAUGAACCUAUACGCUCUGACAAUAGAUACAGUGUAAUAAGUCUGUUGAUGAUGCACUUUAUCCUACUGAAUGCAAAGUGCUUGAGUGUCUUGAAAACCAAUUUGCAGGUUCCUUUGAGUUGCAGAUUGGAUCGAAGGUUGAGCAGAACAAAGAUGAAGAUGAUGGUGUGCAGCUGUUCCUGUGAAGCCCUUUCCUGCUUUUACCAGCUUUGAUGAGGAGCAUUGAUUAUGAGGGAUGAAGCUUCCUCUCUGCUUACCGUAACAUUUCAACAGCUUACAGUAUCUGCACUCCAACUCGUACCGCACUGCGCUGCGUAUAUAAUAACCAAUCUUUAAAGACAGCGGAUCUGCAUUGUGCUCCAUAAUCAGUUCUGCUGCGUAAAACGUGCGGUGAAAUGAACUUGUGGACGCAGAAAUUACACUGAAGCCAUAAUAUUGAUUUCAUUUCUCUCCGGCUGGUGCUGGGACUUGUUAAACAGGUGUCCGUUGAUGCUUUUGCAGAGUUAUUCCACGCUUUGCUGGUAAUGCAGAGGAAGAGUAAUGCGAGGAGACACAUCAAGGUCACCCUCUCCCCCUGCAGCCCCCGCAGAGGUGCAUCUUCACUGCCCCGCUGUCCCCGCAGCCAGCUGUGCAGGCCUGGAUGUGUCGGCCAGGUGUGAAUGAAUGUGAAGUAGCCGCAUGAAUGUGAAACAGGCUGUGACUGAUAAAGAACAUGAGGGCCUCGGGAAACUUCCCCUGAUGAAUAAAAUGUUAAAGGUGCAGUCUAAACAUCAAUAUAUCAAUGUCAGAGCAAUUAGAGCUCAGGAGAGCACAAUGGAGACGGCUGCCUGCAGCUCCGGCCUGCAGGGGAGCGCCUUUUAGAGGAUGAGACUAUUUUCAAAGGUGCUUUGUGAUUAAAGCUACGGUACGCAAUUUCUUUUAGAUGCAUUUUUGUAACAGUGUACUAUUUCAAUUCUCUAAAAACAGCAAUUAGUUAAUCAAAUUCUACUGAGGAAGAAAAGGAAAUGUGUUUUUUUCUGUGGCUGUUUAAUUAGAAAUGAUACUCUUGACUGCACACAGCUGCACACAUGUCAUUUUUGCAAGUCCAAGUCAAGUCUUGAGUGUUUGGUCCAAGUUUAAUGGUUGCUCCCAUAGACUGUAUAAACUAUGGACAACUUGGUUCCACCUUCCGUCAGUAUACGGAUUUGAUUCUGAAAAGCUCUCGAUAUUUCCGCGAUUUUUAUCCAUUUCCUGAAACCAACAUUGCACAGUCGUGUUGUACACACUCCACCACUUGCGCAGUAGCGUUGUGUGUAUUCGGCAGGGGAGUCACCAAGAGUCGCUGUGAUGACGCUCAGCUCAAACAGCUACACAACCUUUGUACGCCCGUAAGUUUUGCUGGCGGAGAUGGGAUUUAUGAUCUAUACUGCAGCCCAUCACCAGAGGGUGCUGUUCUCAGAGUGGCUAAAUCCAGGAAGGAGGCAGACUCUGUCCAUUCUAUAUACAGUCUAUGGUUGUUCCUUUAUUGAUCGAGGAUAGCACUCUUGUACGGAUUUUAAAAAAAGACUAAAAAUGGUCAGUCGAUGAGCUCAAGCGAACCUCCUAGUUAUGGUCCAUGUGUGAAAAGCUCUGUGCCGUUCCAGCAGCGGCUGAUGUGAUGCGGGAUGGUCAAGACAAGUCUUUAAGGAGCUGAGUCAGCACACUUUGCUCCUCCUUGCACAUGUAAGAUGUCCUCCACAGACAGGCAAGAAGAGAGCAGCAAGUUAGUUGCAGACCCCUGCGGAAUCCAUCACCACGAUUACAUGCACAGCUUAAUCUAAACGGACUAAUCUUAUAAUUCUUUUUUUUACGCCAAAUUGGACUUCUCUCCUUGUCAGGGUAUACAUGCAGCUGAGGAAAUCGAAUUAUUGACAUGAACGUGUCCUCCUCCCCAAAACUAGGGGGCGAUAUGGGUCUUUUCAGUGGCGCUGUUUCCAGUUGUUACCACAACAACAUCAGAAGUGUCUCCAACUGCUGCUGGGCAUUUUCGAGCAAGAAGACAGAGCAUCGUACAGCGUUGUUUUUGUCGUACAUGAUUUACGCGCUACUUUUCUGCAGAUGAAAUGCACGCUACUCCUCUUCUCUGGUGUUUUUAUUCCAGGGUUAUGGGGCGUGGUGCACGCACACAUGCAUUGUCCGAUCAUACUGCGACUAUGCCGGUUACAUGGUAGAGAAAAUCGAAUUCCAAUCGCAUUAUCUGGGUGUCUUAAUCAGAGUUCUUAAACUCCAAUUACGUAGUCAGAUGUUUACAUGCACUACAACUGUCGAGUCUUCAUUGAAGUAAGGUAAUAAUUUGGUUUUCUUGAGUGUCAUGUAAACGUACUGGAUGUCAUGCACAGCUUCUCUAUCAUGUGUUGUUUAAUUUUAGCCCUAAUAAGAAUCGUUUUUUUCUGGUAUAUCUGGUAUUUACAAUUUCUGUAAAUUGCUCUAAGUUGUGCUAAGCGAUAACUUUCUUCUGCACUAUUUCCCCGACUGUAAUGCCAUGUAUUAAUGAAAUAUAGUAUAAUCCAAGUGGUUAAUAUGCACAUUUCCUUAGAGUAAUCAAAAAGUUGUAAAAUUGUGUUGAAUUUAAAAGCAAAAAGAACAAAAAGAGGAGCUGUUAGGAAGAUGAAAGAGCCGACUCUGACUGCAGAGCUGAGCCAAAUGAUCUCCGUCACUAAAAAGAGGCAGAAUUCCCAUCGCCACCUCUUACUCAGCGUCUCUCAUGGGCCCGUCCUCCAACAUUAGUGAGGAAACGGGGAUUUUUUUCUGUGUUUGAGUUUGUAGUUGAACAUGUUCAAACUCCAAUUUCCCCAAAGUUGUCUGGCCUUGCUAGAAAAAAAGGGUGUUCGACUAUUUUUAGUUCCCCGAGUGUCUACAAGAGUUUGUCAGCCUAAAAAAUCCAAGGUCUAAAUAAUCUAAAAUUUUCAGUGAUGCAAUACAGAGAAAGGCAACAAUCCGAACAUUUUUUUAUAGAAACAAUUCAAAGAGCGAGAGAUAGUUGAUGAUUAAUUCAACAGUGUCAUAAAAACCUCCUUCAGCUGUUUGUCCUUCAGGAAACCUUACAUGUAAAUGAAAUCUGUCUGCACCAGGAAAUUCAGAAAGACUGCACAACAAGAGUGUUUAAUACUCAUCCUCAUCACCUGACUGUGUGAAAUACUUGAUUCUGAUUGGACAGAACCCCAUUACAACUUCAGACCCUGACAUGUAAAAUCAAUCUGCAUAAAGGAGUCUGACAAAUUUCACCUAUAUUUACUCUAGUUCCUUAUCUAUACAUGUAUAUACGGUAUAUAUGUAUGUAUAUGGUGUGUAUAUAUUAUUUAAAGCUUUGUAUUGGAAACUUGUUGAAAAGGAGGGACGUGACCAAGCAGCAAUAACUGGACUUGAGAAAUUAAACUGCAGUUCCUUGAGUGUCCACUUGGGGCUGGCUGCAGAAGUGCCAGAAACCACAUAGACACUCAUUCAAAAAAGCUCAUUUUUACUAAAUAAACAUGUUUGAAGCCUGGUUGAAACAACAAAAAAGGUUCUUUUAAGUAGAGAUGUUGUAAUAUUGUGAACGAAGAGGAAAUAUCAUAAUAGAGAUAAAAUUGUGUCAUUUGUGGAUUUAUGGAUAACUUGAAAGUAAAACAACACAGAUAGAACAAAGCUAACCCCUAUUUCCACCGCAAACGGAAAGGCAGAGAUUUUCGCCAUCUGCCAAUUCCUACCAGAUACCAGAUUUGUGAGGCUAAUUUUGGACAGCGGGAAUCACGAGUUUUAUGUUGUGUCUGAGCCUGACUUCCUUUCCAACACGGACUAAUCUGUGCUGAAUUUAUGCAGCAUGCUGCGACAUCCGGAAAAAAUAGAACUCUGGCGAUCGGCUGCGGAGUCCGCUGAACUUCAGCGGAACGGAAAGAAGCCAGUGGAAAUUGAUUCAGAAAUUUGAAUGGCCUAUUUGCAGCCGUCCUUGACAAGAGUCGAGUGAACAUAAAUUUAACUAAUAAAUACAAGUAUUUAACGUGUCAACAUCCAUCUCUAUUAAUAUUCAAAUUAAUAACCGUCAGUUGAAACUUUUCUUGAGUUGACAUUUCCUCACUAAACUGUUGGUCAUGCUUUUAUUUUGAAAUCUUCCGAUAGCGGUUUGGGUAAGCAGUAAAGCAAGAAGAGGGCUGGUGUAUUGUCAGCGGGUGGUUAUGUUGAUUAAAAUGACGACAUAAUGACACAUUAUCCUCGACAUAUCUCAAAGCUAGAGUCUCAGCUUUGACUGUUUGUGUUUAUUUGUGCGUUUAGGAUUAAUGUCCUUGUUUAUUUGCUUUGUCUCCUCUUCACUGCUGCUCUCAUACCCAGCUGCCCUCCUCUGUCCUCUGUCUCUAGUCGACCCCGGCACACUGCAGGCACACAACAGCGGUAUAUAAAUCAGUAUCCAUAAUUAAUAUUCCCUGAAGAAAGCCGUGCAGCCGAGCACUUCAUAUCUGUUCUCCAUUAUUAAGUUGAGAGUUAAUAAAGUCUCGUGGAGGGCGAUGCUGCAGCGAGGAAUCCUCUGUAUUGAUUGCACUUCGUUUCCAGCAGCUGUGAGUCACAAACAGGUGUCAGAUGAAAAUAUUUGUUUGUUUUUUUUUAUUCAGCCUGCUGUGUCUGCAGUGCGGAGGAAAAGGAGGAAUAAGAGGUUACACAUCAGUGUCACUCACUGUCAUCUCCAGCAGAGUCACAAACCAACACAUGGUGUGAUAUUCUGCAGUUUAGUACACACAAGAUCUCAAACAGGAGGGAAUAUCUUCAAAUCAUCUUUUUUUAUUCAUGUUCAUAUUUUUCAAAGCUAAAUCAAAAUCAGCUGUCAAUCAACAAGUGAGACUGAAUCAGCAUCUUUUAUUUCCAAUUUUGAUACUGUGAAAAAUCGAACAUUUCCUUUCUUGUCUGUAAUAUAAAAGAAAUAAUUUAGUUUUUGCAUUUUUAUUUGAAAAAAUGAUGUUUUGUAUUCAUAAGAGGGGAUUUUCAGGGUUUGUGCUAAUAGGUUUUGUUGCUUUUGUGAGUUAUAAAAAGGCAAAAUUUUAAAUUUCACUCUUUUUCAUAAGCAGCUCAAAAGUCUUCAUUUGGGUUUUGAAGCUCCAGUGAAGUAUCACUUUGUCCACAGGGGGCGCCAAAGUCAGUGCAAACCUAAAGUUCCACUUAAGAGCUUUAAAGUCAAUUUUUUAAAUUCAUAAUUAAGUCAAAAUUCUCAGAUGUGAGUUUUUUCUUUUCAGUGUUGGUUUAAUGUUAAUGUUGUUGAGGAUUUAUUCCUUUCUUGCCUUUCAUAUCAAGUAAUUUAGUUUAAAAAAUAAUUUAGUUUUUGCAUUUUUAUUUAAAAAAUUGAUGUUUUAUAUUCAUAAGAGGAAAGUGUCAGGGUUUGUGCUGAUGGGUUUUGUCGCUGUUUUGAGUUAUAAAAAGGCAAAAUUUUAAAUUUCCGUCUUUUUCAUAAGCAGCUCAAAAGUCUUCAUUUGGGUUUUGAAGCUCCAGUGAAGUAUCACUUUGGCCACAGGGGGCGCCAAAGUCAGUGCAAACCAAAAGUUCCAUUUAAGAGCUUUACAGUCUAUUUUUUUAAUUCAUAAUUAAGUCAAAAUUCUCAGAAGUGAGUUUUUUCCAUUCAGUAUUGGUUAAAUGUUAAUGUUGUUGUGCCCGAGUACUUCAUUUCUGUUUCAUGCUGCGACUCCAGAAUGACAAUGAAGCUCCCUGAGCUCUUCUGUGUCACUCUCUAAAAACAGCCUCCACGCUCAGAGGCAGUCGCGGCUCAGCGGUACAGCGGGUUGUCUCCCGAUCAAAGCGUUGGAAGUGCAGUCACAGCUCCUGCAGCCUGAAGUGUCCAUAGGCAAGACAUCAAACUGGAGCGCUGAUGGUCGCUUGGCGUGGCGUCCUCUGCCACCAGUGUAAGAAUGUGACACGAUGAGUGGUCGCGAAGGCUUACUCUCUGGUUGGAAAUUCUGAGUUUUGACCAAAAAUGCUUGAGUGUAGAUAAACACUAAAGAAAAUUAGAUUAUUGAAUUAAAUUUUUGCUGUUUUCUUUUGCAAAUCUUGAGUUUCCUUCAGUAAAAAAAAAAAUCUUGAGAGUUCCUGCAUCCUCGGCCAAACCCCAAAAUGAAGACGAUUAAAGGGAUAUUCCGGCGUAAAAUUAAUUUAGGGUCAAACACACCGUAACACCGAGUCAGAUACCCCCUUGAGAGAUGAAUGUUGUUUAGUAACGACCGCAGGAUAGCAAUAUUCAUCUCUCAAGGGCGUGUCUGACUCGGUGUUAAGGUGUGUUUGACCCUAAAUUAAUUUUACGCCGGAAUAUCCCUUUAAGACAGACGUAAAUGAAUCAUGCAACUAAGAGAUUUUUCCCCGUCAUGUAGAGUCAUGAUGAGAUUUGCGAGACUUUAACUGAGGAAAUAGACCUUUUUACAGAUAGCUGUUAAUAACAGGUGGUAGAAGGCCGAGCUACACAUCUGCAUCUACACCACACAUUGCUGAACUCAACAGGAACACAAUUUUGAGCUUUCCUCCCCGAAAAAAACGACUUGUUUUUUUACAGAUGAACCUCUAUUCCAGAUUUUAUGGAAGCCGGAUAAACCACAUUAUACUGUCUUAAUAGCGCACAAGAUUUAUCAUACAGACGUCUGUAGAGAAAAGAAGAUAAAUCAAAACAGCAAUCUGGAGAAGUUGGCUCAGACUACAAAAACAUCACCCUGUAGAGACGUGGAUGCUGGAGUUGGUUCUCAGGUUUGAUACUCUUCAUUGGUUCCUGCGGAGAACCGUGCUCAUGGUUGUUGUGAAGCGUCUCUUGGGAAACCGUCAUGUAAAGCAGUGACCCGAGCGAAAUGUGAAACAUGCACAGGGAGAGGAUAGCGAGUCCAUGGAGGCAGGUUUCAGGAGCUGGAGCUCAAACAAUACUUUAAUCUGUUCAUGUGGUGCAGAAAAAAAAUGUAAUUUGAUUGUAACUUGGUCUCAGAUUCAGAGCCUAAUGAGCUCCUUUAAAGAACAGAGACGUGAGCUCAACAACGUUUUGGCUGAACUGUAGAAAAACUCGGCUUCCUUUAUAGCGGCAGGUAGAAAAGGAUUUAGAGCACUGGAGGCGAGACCAUAUUGAAGAGUGAAUUACAAUUUCCAUCCCAGCUUGAGACACAUUGAGCCUAAGUCCCUCAGCAAUGUGUCUCAGUUGGAAAUAACAAGAGUAAAUCAAAAACUUGACGGUGGGUCUGGUUUCAUACGGUCUCGUUGGAAUCAAACACUUGUUUCUUUUAUUUGGAAGUGACAAUUCCAGCUUUCUCCCGCUCAGGAGGGAGUGUCCGUGGAAAGCUUUUGGUCAUGAUGCACGGGAAAGCUUUCAGCAUCCAUGAAAACCUCUCAAAUGCUUGUUUGCGCGCCUUUGUGCUCAGUACCUUUGGCAGAAUUUGAAUAAAUGGACAACUUCCAUUUCCACAGGUAGCCUUCCAGUGCUUCCAUUAGUCAAAGUGACUUUAACCCAAUUUCUAAUGCUUUUUGGCUUUAUUUAGAGAGGAAAUAGGAAGAGAAAGCAGGGAGUUUCACCUCAUGUUGGUGUUUUUCACAUUUUCAGUCACGUCCACCUCUACUUACUAAUCCCAGCAGUGUAAAAAUCCCUGCAGGACAAAUGAAAACAUUGAGGCACAGAGCAGAAUGAUAAUAGCUAGGACGAAGCAUGUUUGGGGAAAUGUGUUGAAUGUGAUCUCUAUUUUAUGUCCCAUCUGUCAUUCAGAAGUCCUACACAGCAGCCAAUCACCGGAGGGGACUCCAAAAGUUUGGCCUCACCCAGGAUAGUCGUUUCUCCAUCCAUGGUUUUUACAGCCGUUACCGUCAAAUCUGAAUUUUAUGUCUUUCACUCUUAAUUUACAAGUUUCUUUUACCCUCGAAAUUUGUGUAUGGAAAUUUCACAGUUAUCUAUAAACCCGAAUUGAGUCAAAGUCUGUCAUUCUUCCACCUUAGCGCUC